GCGAACGACAGGGGAACGUUUCCUACACGCGGGCAGCUCCGCACGCCGGCGGCGGGGGGGCAGUUAGGCACUUACCCUCCGCGGACAUGGCGCUGCGGGGGGUGUCCCGGGCGGGUGGCGAGCCGGGCUCCGCGCAGGCAGGUGUGGCCGGAAUGUGGCGUUGGAAACGGAAGCGGCUUCGCCGACGGGGCUUGUGUUCUCCGUGGCCGGCUGGAGCCAAGCACUGACAGGAGCCCUGGAUGCUGCAGCAGGGGUUCGCCACCGCCUCCUUUCUGAGUCUCCCCCGCCAACAGGCUAGCAUAACUCCACAGCCAGCUUGCGUCACAACAACUGGUUUUCUGCAUAUAAAACUCAUGACUGACAUUAAGGGGUAGCAAGCCAGGCCGUUACCCGGGACCCCAACAAAGCUAAGCUGCUCAUGCUGCGGGACUUCGGCUUUCGGUCUAAUGCCGCUCUUCUUGGUGAACCGUCUGAAACCUGCUCGUGGGCCUUGGCACCCUGCCUUGCUUCCAGUCUCUGCAUUUCAUGUGUGAGCAAGCCCUUCCCUCUGAACCUCCCUGACAAGAGGGGUGUGGCAAAGAGAUGGGACCAGUGUGAAGGAAUGGAAGAGACCCCCGGGGAAAGUAGAAAUGACUGAGGUGAGACUGGCGAGAUAAAGGUGGAGAGGAGAAAGGAAGGAAUAGGAACAUGCUGAAGUUAAAAAUAGAGGAGACACAAAGGGAGUAUGAGUGACAUGUCAAACUUUAAACCAUGAAAACAGGCAAAUUUAAUGUGAGCAGCCUUAAUCACAAACACUACUGUAAUAUAAGUAAUAAUCUAGUAUUCUGGCUAUGACAGUGGUCAGUACCAGAUAGUUCAGAAGAAGAAACCACAUAUAGAUUUGUAAAUAGGGAAAAAAUUCUCCCAAUACCUCUUUUUAUGCCCUGAAGAAUGAGGGGUUGUGUCCCAGACUCUACUUAGUUUGAAAUGUAUUGCCUUUCAGUUCCAUUUAAUGUGCCUUUGUUCUGUGUUAUGAAAGUAAAUAGGUGUGUGUGAUUGUCUUCUCUGUGUUAGUCAUUUUUUUAUGUAACUAUCACAUCCCUCUUAUUUAUAUCAUUAAACUAAACAGACUCAGUCUUUUCACUCUCUCCUCUCUUUCCCACCAUGGUCAACAGAACAAAGCAUUACCAUGUUGUUGCCUGCAUCUUUGUGUAACACUGAGAUAUUUUUAUAAUUUUUUCAUCAACCUAGCUAACUAUCCAUCAGGAUUCUUGAGUUUAAGAACCAUUUAUAAAGUAAGAUCUUUUAUAACCCCAGAUUUUCUAAUAUAAAGAUGGAAAAGGGUCACUAGAUUAAGUAGAUUUAAGUAACACUUCCUUUUUGGUGGCACAAUUUCUGUCUGUCGAAUUUAGACUUACACUGUAAUAUGCCAUCAUCUCCAAGUCCUCAUUUGUGGGCCAAACAUUACAUUCUUACACUUAUGAAUAGGAAAGGAAUUUUGAGACAGGCAAGAACUAGUUGUAAGAGCUUUACAUGACUCUUGAAAUGCCUAAUUGUACUAUUAUGGAUAAAGUCUUUUCUCACUUACUCAAUUAUUUUGUUAUGUUGGUAAAUAGUGAAAUUGCCAUAAUGAGAACCUUUGAAAACCUGUUGCAACUCUUGAGGUGUGAUGUGUGUCUUUUUGGUGGUGGGUUGUUUUUUUUUUGUUUUGUUUUGUUUAUUGAAAUGUCUCCCUCACUUCUCAAAUAAACAGUGUGGAUUACCAGUUGUUUUUUAAUCA